UACGGAGGGUGCGAGCGUUGUCCGUAAUCACUGGGCGUAAAGGGCGCGUAGGCGGCCUGAUAAGUAGGGGGUGAAAUCCUGCGGCUUAACCGCAGGGCUGCCUUCUAAACUGUCAGGCUGGAGCACAGUAGAGGCAGGUGGAAUUCCCGGUGUAGCGGUGGAAUGCGUAGAGAUCGGGAAGAACAUCAGUGGCGAAGGCGGCCUGCUGGGCUGUUGCUGACGCUGAGGCGCGACAGCGUGGGGAGCAAACAGG
rnacentral:rRNA from 1 species